rnacentral:rRNA from 1 species
AAGGAUCAUUAUCUAUUUGUUGGAUGUGGUCGCGGCCCCCGUAUUCCGGGUGGUAGGGGUAACACCCUCACGCGCCACAUGCACUAAUCCUCUUUUUACGAGCACCUUCUGUUCUCCUUCGGCGGGGCAACCUGUCGUUGGAACCAACAAAACCUUUUGAAUUCAGUAUUACCUGUUCUGAUACAAACAAUCGUAACAACUUUCAACAAUGGAUCUCUUGGCUCUGGCAUCGAUGAAGAACGCAGCGAAAUGCGAUAAGUAGUGUGAAUUGCAGAAUUCAGUGAAUCAUCGAAUCUUUGAACGCACAUUGCGCCCCUCGGUAUUCCGUGGGGCAUGCCUGUUCGAGCGUCAUUUCACCAAUCAAGCCCCGCUUGGUAUUAGGCGUCAGGCCCGCGCUUCGGCCGCGGGCCCGCCCGAAAUGCAUCGGCGAGGACAUCGACCCCCGGCGUGUUGAGAAUUCACGUUCGACGUCGGGAGCACCGGUGCGCCUCCGCCGCGGAAACCUUUCCGGAAAACACAAUUUUCAAAGGUUGACCUCGGAUCAGGUAGGAAUACCCGCUGAACUUAAG